rnacentral:rRNA from 1 species
UACGGAGGGGGCUAGCGUUGUUCGGAAUUACUGGGCGUAAAGCGCGCGCAGGCGGUCUUCCAAGUCAGUGGUGAAAGCCCGGAGCUCAACUCCGGAACUGCCAUUGAAACUGUAAGACUUGAGGAUGAGAGAGGUGAGUGGAAUUCCCAGUGUAGAGGUGAAAUUCGUAGAUAUUGGGAAGAACACCGGUGGCGAAGGCGGCUCACUGGCUCAUUACUGACGCUCAGACACGACAGCAUGGGGAGCGAACGGG